rnacentral:tRNA from 1 species
ACCCAGGUGCGCCGGCGCGGCGGCCGGCUCUCGGCCGGGCAACGGCAGCUCGUGGCGUUCGCCCGGGCGUUCCUCGCCGACCCCCGGGUGC